rnacentral:rRNA from 1 species
CCUACGGGUGGCAGCAGUGGGGAAUAUUGGACAAUGGGGGCAACCCUGAUCCAGCCAUGCCGCGUGUGUGAAGAAGGCCCUCGGGUUGUAAAGCACUUUCAGUGAGGAAGAACGCCUGGUGGUUAAUACCCAUCAGGAAAGACAUCACUCACAGAAGAAGCACCGGCUAACUCCGUGCCAGCAGCCGCGGUAAUACGGAGGGUGCGAGCGUUAAUCGAAAUUACUGGGCGUAAAGCGCGCGUAGGUGGCUUGAUAAGCCGGUUGUGAAAGCCCCGGGCUCAACCUGGGAACGGCAUCCGGAACUGUCAAGCUAGAGUGCAGGAGAGGAAGGUAGAAUUCCCGGUGUAGCGGUGAAAUGCGUAGAGAUCGGGAGGAAUACCAGUGGCGAAGGCGGCCUUCUGGACUGACACUGACACUGAGGUGCGAAAGCGUGGGUAGCAAACAGGAUUAGAUACCCGUGUAGUC